rnacentral:tRNA from 1 species
GAGGAUAGAGCUCGGUGGUAGAGCACGUGCUUAGCAUGCAUGAGGUCCUGGGUUCAAUCCCCAGUGCCUCCA